UACGGAGGGUGCGAGCGUUGUCCGGAAUCACUGGGCGUAAAGGGCGCGUAGGCGGCAGGCCAAGCGUGCGGUGAAAGUCCGGGGCUCAACCCCGGAUCUGCCGUGCGGACUGGUUUGCUAGAGCACUGUAGAGGCGAGUGGAAUUCCGGGUGUAGCGGUGGAAUGCGUAGAUAUUCGGAAGAACACCAGUGGCGAAGGCGACUGACUGGACAAGUAUUGACGCUGAGGUGCGAAAGCGUGGGGAGCGAACAGG
rnacentral:rRNA from 1 species